GAAAACGACCCCAAAUCGAUCCACCCUUCUCUCCCCGCCGCGGCGCAACUCCUCUGGCGGCCGGCGAGCGAGCAGAGAUGAACGCCGCCGCUCCCGCCUCCCCUCUCAGCUUCUUACUCUUCCUCAAUCCAAUCUGCCGGCGGGGAAUUUCGGAUUCCAGCGAGAAGUGGCGCAUCGGCGAUCCUUUGGCGCGCGGCUGCGACAGAGCUCGUCGCUCCUCUUCCACGGCGACCGAUGGCGCAGGUCCCUUUCCUCCUCGAACGCUCGCUCAGCGUGCUCCGUUCCUCAGCCGCGGCACAAGCACAUCAAUUACAUUGCCAACAACCUGCCAGAUUUGUCUCAUUGCCAACAUAUCUGCAUCAGCUAGUAAAUCCAAAUUAAGCAGUACCAGUCCCAAAAUAAUUACUCUGGCCAGUGAAAGAAGCCAGUAUUCCGCGUGGGCUGUUCGAUGUACUACAGGGUGGUAGAUUUUGAAAGGAAGGAAUUCAUAUUUUAUUUGGACAAAGAGAUGAAGCCAGAAAGGAUUCGAUUCGGUAUAACACCAUCACCGAUGCAGACGACAAGGGGUUCAUCGCGCCAGGCACCUCGGCGUUGCUUCCGUGAGAUGGUGGCAGCGGCUACAGAAACAGCUACGUCUCUCUCUUUCCUUGCAGUUUCUGGAAUUGGGAGCGGAAGAAGGGGCGAGCGUUCCGGAGGUGGCAGGCGGCAAUAGAAGUUCAUCUGACCUUCGUUCCUGCAGCAUGGUUCGAAUCAAUUAAAGACCUGAGAUUCAGUGGUAGAAGCUGCAGACAACCAUCGCCGGCGAGGCACAAGAGGUUUCCACGGUCAGAUCUACAUUGAGGCGAGGCCAUGUCAAAGAAAACACCACUAGUUAUGUGUUUGCAGCCACCUCUGCUACAUUUUGUUGUAUCAUAUUUGAAGUUCAGUUUCAUGCUGGUCGCAAUUUCUUACGGAUUGGUGUAUUUUGUUGUAGGUAGUAAGAUCAUAAGAUACUAAUGGGCUCCCUGUAAUCCCAAAGGCACUGGCUAGUGGAUAGAUAUUUUUUACAAAAUCUUCUAGAGGCGCUUAAUUUUCUAUAUCGAAAACGACUGCUGGUUCCAUCCAACCUGUAUGGGAAUGAUCAUUGAGUAGGCCAAAAAGUUAGACAAUUUCCUGUGCUCAGAUUGUGCUAAAGAAAACGACACAAAGAGACCUACAAAUUCAUACCAGAGUUCACCAAGUUAUCAUUCUAAGGCCAGUGAUUAAUUUCCCUUUUCUUGACUGUACAGUUUAUUAAUAUUCUGCUUGCGGAUAGCUAUAUGCCUUUAUCUUAUCUUUUUAAAUUUAGUUUCAAGAAUUUCAUUUCCAAAGCUGGUGGUUAUUGUCUUUGUUUAUUCAAUAUUCCUGGGAAAAAUGUUUGGUGUUUAACUAAACAAGUACUCAUGUGUAGUUAAAAUUUGCUGUCAUGAGUUCCUUCAGUCUAUGCUGGGUACAGUGCCUUUUAAAGAAGAUUAUUAUAUUGUUUGUGCAGAACAUUAGUUAGUCAUUGCCAAGCAAUCUUACAUAUGUUGGCAAUAUUAAAUAGGUUGUUAUGGUCAUGUUCUUUGGUUGGAAACCCAAAUUUGGACCUUACGAUAUUAUCUUGGAAUAACAGAAGCCCUGACAAGAGUAAUUUAUAGAGUGUGGGGACAAUUUGUGAUCUGCUGGAUACCAAUAAUCAGUAAUAGGAUCUUCUUUGUAGAUCAUCAUCCCUGUUAAUGCAUGAUAUUGUCAUCCAUCAGCAUGUUCUCAGUUCAUGUAUUUCACAGUGAAGAUGAGCUUAAUAUAAUAUAUAGCUUAUUCAGCACAUACUGUGUAUAGUGCAUGAGAAGAUUUUGUGGCACAAGGCAUACAUGCCAUUUGAGAUGUGAUGCUCCUGUACUUAGAAGCACGCGGCUUGUCCUGAGAUGUGAAUCUCCUGUCCUUAGAAGCAUGGGGCUUAUCCUGGUUUUCUGUAUGCUCUUUGUUCUCCACAGAUUGUACUUAAACAAACUUGAUUAAAUCGAGAAAAUAAGCUAUCUUCGGAAAUCUCCUGAUCUACAUAGGAUAUCUGGUAUAUACUUCAAUUGCCCGUGUGAUUAUAUUUAUCAAUGUUAGAAAUAUUUUUCAUCCAUCAAAGGGAGAUUUUCGGAUGCAGACUAAAUUGUUUGUCAGAGAUUAUACUUAGAUAGACUGAUUAAAUUGAGCAAAAUAAGUUACCAUUGCAAAUCUCCUGAUCCACAUGCUAUUUGCCAAUGGUCGUCGCGCUUCAGUACUAGUUAGUGCAGUAGCAAGGUAGGAGUUGCUUAUAUGUGCGAAAUAUUCAAUUCAUAAUAUCUCAUAUCAAUAGACAGAGAUGCAUCAAUUCUUUUUCAUUAUUGAUUUUCAUAUCUGUCAUGUGCAGAGUGCCCAUCGAUUAGUUAUGUAGGUCGUGAGUGCGGUUGUAAAUUAUGCACUACUCUUGGUGGUUACUAGCCUUCAUCUCUACAAAAACAUCUAGUGAGGAGUCAUCUGUCUACAAAAAACAUGCAAUGAGGUUACUUGCUUCCCGUCAGAGAUUGAGGUUCCUAUGAGGUUACCAUCGGGAGAGUCAGGUUAUCCAUCACAUGUUUGUUCACAUGUCUCGGGGAACGAGAUGGGAACGAGAUGUGGUCAAACUACUCAGAAAUGUUUUGUACCCUUUAGCGCAUUUAUUUGCUAAUCUCCGGGUUGUUGCACAUGAUACAGUAGUGAAUUAGAUACAUUUUUUGUGCUUUUAGAAUGAUAGAAUUGAUGAAUUUUGGGCCCACCAUUUGGUACAACAGUAUAUUUUCUUCCUUGCAAAUACUGUGUGUUGCCUCUUUAUUCUACCUUCUGAAUGUUUCCGUCUGAAUUCUUUUAUAUUAUUUCUGAAUAACCAACCUCAACAACAGCCUGCUCAGGUUAUUUCUCGCUGUACAAAAAGCCGAUCUCUCACUUUUACAUUUGUUGGUAAAACAACAUUGUCAAUUCUAUUUGUUAACGGCACACUUAGGAAAUAUAAUGCCUUUGAGACUGAGCUUCUGUGAGGUUAUAUAAGUACCUAACGCUCAUUUUAUUUGCCGUUCCAAGUAUGUGUUGCAAAAGAGAGCAAAGGGAAUUUGGUUUCAGGUGCAGCAUUUUCUGCUAACAGCCAACCCGAAUAACAGCCUGCCUGGUUAAAUUCUUGCACUAAUAAGCAUUGGUUCCUAAAAACAACAUGGCACUUUACUGUACAAACACCUUGCUGCAUUAUAUCUUUGCUUUAAUUGUUCGAUAAUGGCUCUGUUGUAAUUUUUCGGCAAGUUGGAUUUGGAGUUCUACUUGUCUAAUGAUUUCUUCCUUGCGAAUUUUCCUGUGAAUUGGAGGAUGGGCGAGGCUAAGAAACUAACGGCAUUGGACUAGAACUGGCCUCUGAGUCAAAUAAGACCAACUCCAUACCUUUUUCGCCACCAAAACCAAAAUGCCUGGCCUGACCAGUCAACCAAAAACGAUGUGCUUUGUCCUAUCACCAAAGAUUUGAUUCACCGACAAGUAUGUGGAUUUGGGAUCCCAAAUUUUCCCACAACGGUAUCGAUGUCCUU